rnacentral:lncRNA from 1 species
AAUGAAUACGUUUCCCGUCCAACUCUUUCCUAAAGCAUAUAUGAUGAAGGAUUCUGGCUUUCUUCCGGCAACCCUCUAAUAGUACAUAUGUUACCACCAAGAAGGGGAAGAAGGCUUGUAGAAAUGAUAAAUCUACAUUACAUGUCGACCUUGUGUUCGCUUGCAUCAUUUCAUGUAAUCACCAUGUGUUCGCUUGCAUCAUUCAUGUAGUCACGAGUUUGAAAUAUAUUGGACCGGCCGGUUUAGCUUAUGAGGUCCUUUUUACAAUUUAUUUUUAAUGAUAUUGCCUUUCCUAUAUGGCUAACCUAAUCUUAUGUGUCGUGUCAAAUGUUUUGCAAGUUAAGUCAACUUUAUAAUAUUUUUUUAAUUUAUUUUUUAUUGUUGUUGUUUUAUUUUUUAUCAUGUUAUCAAAUUAAUCAAGGCUUAUCUCAAUUAUCAAAAUUUCUCUUACUUUUUUAAAAACAUAAUUGUCUUUUGAAUUAUUAUUUUUAUUGAAAAAAGCUUGGUUAGACCCGCAACGUCACAUAGACCACCAAUCUAGUUUUAUCUAUUUAUUUUAUUAGGAAGAUUAUUCUAUCUACCUAUUUAACCAUCACAUGGACCACCAAUCUAAUUUUAUUUAUUUAUUUUAUUAUGAAGAUUCUUCUAUCUACCUAUUUAACCAAACCAAUUGUAAGUGGUUUUUUAUUUUAUAGACUUUAAUUUUUCCUAUUGAUAAUGAACAGUGUAUAUAUUGAAAUAUUUUGUUACUUUUUUUAUUUAAGUUAUAGUAUAUACUAUUUAUAAGCCCACACUAAGUUGUGCGUUGAAUUUUUUUUUUUUUUAAUGUAACAAAAAUAUUCAUGUUGGAAAUAACUAUUUGACACUAUUAUUAAACCUGACUUUACAAGUCAAUUUUGAAAUCUUCCAACCCGAUAUCUUACAUUGCCUAGAUUUAAAAUUAAAUCAUGUGAAAGUUGUCUCUACAUGAUCCAAUUAAUUUGACCUAUUUAAAAAAAAC